GCCACAGUGCAUCUCAUGAGCAUUCAUUUCAGGGUAGUUCAUGCAAAGUGUUCAUUAUACAUUUACAGCCCUCUGGUUGCUUGAUGACUUGUAAAAUUCCUUUAAUUGUCUGUCCAGACUUUUGCUGUUUGUUUUGGCCUUUGGUUAUGCAGUCACUCUUGAGAAACAAGACUGCAAUCUUCAAUCCUUACAGCAGAACAGUUGUCUUCUGAUGUGCCAUGUUAGCAGAAAGUAGUGGCAGACAGGACCAUGCUACAAUACAAAGAUGCCAUGAGGGUCUUGGUGCUAAUGCUGUUGUAUUGUUCAGAGCAGUUCUUGGCUGCUAAGAAAACCUGUAUGGAAAAUAAUCUAUUGAUUCUUGGCCUUUUAAAGUAUUUGUUAUGCACAGUUACCAAAAAAUGGUAUCUGUAAUUUCUGGAAAAUGCUAUUUUCCUUUUGUUUGUUAGAUCUCUUUCCUGAGAAGUGAAGAAGCUGGGCAGGCAAUCUGGCCCUGGCUGCUCUCACAGUUCACUUGUCUUCCCUACCCUGAGGGAGACAAUAUGCUUUUAUUGGAAGGGACCGACUGACCCAAAAAGAGAGGAUACGCUGGGUAUAUAUUGUUCUAAAAUGCACAGUUUGGGAAAAAAUAUUCUAAAGCAAAUUAAAACCUAAAACAUUGGACUUCCUCAGUCCCAGGAGAACAGCUUGAGCAGAAAGUAGAGUCCUGGAAAUGUGUUUGGGAGUGUCUGUCAUGUUGUGCUUGGAAGCUCCUUGCUGGUUGAAUGUACAGGAAAUUUUUUCCCCACUUCUUUAUGGGGAAACUAAAUAUAACAUUUCUCUACCCCUGGUUCUGUAAUUGCUGUUAAACAACAUGGUAAUUGUGAGUUUACCUAAUCAUUGAUAAGUCCAGUCUAUUUCACAUAAGACUUAUUUUUCUGUUUUCCUUUUUUUAAAUAAAUAAAUUAAUAUUUUGAUUGCUGCUGCGUGGAUAAGGUUAUGGAGAAUUAAUUUUUGGAGGGAACUAAAAUGUAGCUGGGUGAUCAGAAGCUUCUUAUGAAAUAUUUAGUAAAGUUAGGAAUGCCUAAUAUUUAAAGAUGCUCUGAUCGGUAAAGAUCAUUUAUUGUUUCUUGGUUUUCUCCAGCUGAUGUCUUUCAGGUAUAGCCAGAGCUCAUUCUGAAAACCGAAGUUUUUGGAGGCAGUGGCCCAGAAGAAUGAGCUGAUUCCUGCUUUAGGCAAACCUUGUAGUGCCCUACAAGUACCUAUCUCUUCUGGUGCCAGCUGUCACCAUUUGGGAGAUAAAACUGUUUCAGUGAGGUGAUCUGUAACUUCCUUUCUUUGAAACUUCUUCUGCUGAAAGACCUGUGAGGGAACCAGGAGCCUCCACCUCUAGCUGGGUGUGAUGUUGUGUUAUUAAAAGAUGAUUUCUCUCCAGCUGGACAAGACCAGGCUGUUGGAGAACAGAUAAUUUUUGUGUGUGGAAAUGCAGUCAUGUGUGAUGAGCCUCUCCUGUUCCUAAAGCGGUUUGAUGGUUAAAGUGUGACAGAAGACCUGUCCUUCUCUGCAGUAUCUGCUGCCUCUUGUACACACUUAGCAGGUUUCCUCUAGGAUCUGCAUGAAGUGCAAUGUCCUCUUAGAGGUGAGAACAGUAUUUGCAGCUGAGGAUGGUGACAGUGGAAUUGGGGCCUCACUGAGAACCACAGAGAAACAUUCUUAAAACUUGCAGAGCGCAUGAAAAAAAAUCUUCAUCUUUUUUUAAGAGAUCUAACUCCUUCUGUUGCAUAUCUCAAUGAUAGAUUGGUUUCAGUUUUCACCUCUUGAGUUCCAGUGGCACAUAAAUUCUUGUGUUUUGAAAAGGAGCUUGUAAAUUUGAAAAUGCAAAUAGCUUGUGAUGCUGUAAUGAGUUCAUUAUCUGAUCAGUAUUGAUUCUUGCUGUUUAAGAAAUGAAAAUAAGUUGAAAAGGGCAGGGUACAGUAGCAUCUACAGUCAUUCUGGGAGCAAUGACAUGUUUAUUUAAGUGGAAAAUGCUAUUUUGAGCAGAGACUGCCAUCCACAAAGCAGUCUGAUGGAAAUAUUUUAGUGUAAGAGAGCUGCCUUUAUGCAGGGGUAAUGCCUGAGGAUUUCCAGUUACUGGAAAAAAUCCUGAAAGAUCUAAAGCUGCAAUUCUUCUGUCUUGGGAAAUGGAAAAAAACAAAAGGGAAAUAGCCUUUGGGCAGCUUAGCUCAGUUAGCUGCUCCCUGCUCACAGCCUGCAGCUCAAGGUUUCAUUCUUCAGUCACAAGAAGCCACAUCCUCCCAGGAUCAGCUGAAGCCAGGGGGCUCUUUGCAGUCUUCAUGUCUGACUCUUGCUGAUGCCAUUAGCAAGAAAUACAAAUGGAGCUGCUGGUUUGUGACCAGUGCUGCCUUCAUGUGAACUGGCCCUGCCACUCAAGAGCACUUAGGCUGGUCAGCUGCCUGCUCCAGGUGUUCCAGUUGUUUAGUUCAGCCUCUGAAUUAAAGUUAUCUCCACUCUGUGCCAUUGAUUUGCCUGAGUGUCCUUUUAAUUUUAUUAAGUAGUGACAAUGAAGCUCAUAUCUUUUGCAUAAAAGGGGAGCCUUGGAAGCAGGAGAAGACAGAGGUGAUACCUACUGGAAAUAGUCAGUGAUUUAAGCAAGGCACACACUGUUUCUUACCUUCUGGCUGGAAGCUGUUCCUCUGGAGUGCUCUGUUUAAAGGGAUAAAAACUGAUGAGGCCUAAAAGCCAUUUUUGCAUUUCUGAGUUGGGCCAUAUAAAUGGAUGAAAUUACUGUCAACCCAACCAUCUGCAAAAUGUCUUAUCACAAUACUGCAAUAUUGCAGUGUAUGUAUUCAUGUUUUAGUCAGCAUUUGGGCAGGCUUCUGUAUAUAGGGGUUUGAAUGUGUCAAUAGCUUUUUGCCCAAAUAGAAUUCCUCUGAAUAUGCAUCUUAUCAGCGUUGCUCAUUGCAGGCUGCUCUCCUCUCGGAAGGCAGAAAACGUUGCUGUGAGAUGAGUCACACCGUUUAACAGCUUGUUGCUUCCUCGGUGAGACGCACCCUUGCUGUGCAUGCCAGUGAUCAUGGAACUCCUGGCAAAUGCCCUGUGACGUGAACUCCUCGUGGCCCCGGUUCAUGGAACGCCCCUGGCACUCGCUGAAACGCCUUGUGCUUGUGGCUCCUCGCUGCUGUUGGGUGCGCUGCUCCUCCUCCCAAGACACUCCUAAACUUCAGGCUUCAUGGAAAUAAUCAAGUUACUGCAUUGGACAGGUGACCACAGAAUCCAUUGAGCUGAAGGGAGUACAAGACAGAGACAGCUUGAGGUGAGAAGGAGUCUGUGCGUGUCAGAAUUUCAUUAGCUUGCUGGGAAGUGGGACAUCCUGGACGUCCUCCACCCUCCUUAAACUUCACUUUGGUGGUGAACAUGUUCUGCCUAUGCUGUGGGAGAUGCUGAAGAACCCAGAAGGGUGAGAAAUACCAGCAGGGUUUUAGUGCAGACUCUUUUCUGAGGGCAGAUGGGGAGCAAUUUCCUGGCUGAGCGCUGAUAGUUUGUCUACCGUGCAGCGUUGCUCUCUGUGGCUUGGCACAGGUUCAGUGCUCUGUGUGGUGUGGAAGCACGCUGUGUAAAACGUGAGAACUUCCUGCUGUGAUAAGGAACCAACAGUUCUUCCAGCAGGUGCAGUCUUUAGCUGCAGUCCUGAAGAUGUAACAGAAAUGUUUGCUGUCAUGGGCCUUCAGUAUUGUGAAUCUCAAACCGAGUCUGGCCUGAACAGUUCAGAAGGCCAAGCUUUGCUUUUUGCCUUGCACUGCUGUGAUAAGAGAAUUAGGAGGGGAAGCUGUGUUCAAGAAUCUUUAAUCCAUUAUGGUGGCUGUGACCAAAAUGAAUAAUCUUAUUUUAAAGGGUGCUCUAAACCACUAAAGCUUUAUAAAUAUUAAUUUUGUUCAUUUGUUUCCUAAUAAAAGGCUUUUAUUCAUUAAAUCACUAUUUAUUUAUUAACCUGACAAACUAAUAGCAAGCUCUCUUCUUUCAGUGUAUGCAUGUGCCAUAUCACAAUUCUGCUUGUCACCGUAAUAAGAACUUCAUUCAUCUGUCUUAAAAUGUCAUUGAUAACAACCUGGCAGUGGCCCAGCUUGGAGCAAGUUAACUACAAAAGACUGCAUUGUAAACCUUUCUGAGAGUACAUGCUACAUUAAGUCUAAAAUUAAAAAAAAAGAGAGAGAGAAAUGUGCAGGCUGGUCCGAGUGUCAUACAACUGCCAAAUAGCUUCAAACCUCUGGGGAAAAAAAAAUGGAAUCCUGUACAGAGGAAUUCUGGCUGAGAUGGAUUAGUUUGGAAUGAAGGAUGCAUUCUGCUCACUUACACUGAAUUUAUAAGCCUCAUCUUAAAAUGAGAGGGAAUGCCUUGCUGAACCACAAGCAGCUAAAUGAGAGCUUGAACAUGUAAGGCUCUUGUUAUUUCCUUUAGUCUCGUCUUUCUGCGACCAGGAUAAAAGCUACAAUCUGAAAAUAGUCACAUGCCUCUGGAGUUAACUGCUAGGAAUACUGUGAGUUUGUCUUGGUUAUAGAAACCUUCCCUGACUCCAUCUGCAGCCUGUGCACCAAACAUUUAUCCUCCCAUAAGUUCACAGAGUGCAGGGAGGGUCUGUCACACACUGAAGUUCAAAUAUCUGGUCUCUGCCAGCCCCUCUGGAGGGACCUGAGCCUGCUCCUUGCUCUGCAAUGCUGUCUAUGGUGCUUCACCUUAACAGAGGUUUAGGGCUUCCUGCCUGUGACUCUCCUGUUCUUAAAAGUAUUACAAAUUAAAUUAGCAGCCUGGGUGAGGGUGAACUGAUCUUUCCAUAAAACUGAUACAGAGUUUGUGAACUUUAUGGACAAAAGCUUCCAGGGAUCUUUAGAGUGGGCUGUGUCCUGUGCUGCAUGUGGGGUUUGGUACAGCCCCUGACUGACCUAGGCAGUCCCACUGAACAAUUCAACAGCUGAGUUGACCAUGAUGCUUUAACACAUCUUCAUCCAAGGUCUUCUGGAAGCACCCUAAGCAUGCAUUAAACACCAUGGUUCUCAUCCUACACCUCAGACAUGGCCAAGGCUCAGGCAGUGUGGGGAAGGGCUUGCUCACAACUCAUGGGUUUACAGUCGGAUUUCUUAACUGGAACAAGGACUGCAAGAGUCUUUAAAAACUAAAACCCCAAACCCUGCAAUUUCAUGCUUCUUCACUUCUGUGGUUUUUGUUUUGUCUCUUUCUUAAGUAUAGUGUAUGGACAGCGCCAUGGGUUAGGGAACACUGCAGCUUCAUCCUCAGAGACUUUUCGUAUGUAGCCUUCUGCUGAAGUCAAUGGGUGUGGAGGUAAGCGGUGCCGAGUGCUUUCUGACAACAUCACUGCCACCCACUCUGCAGCCUGAUGCACACAGCACUCCUUGUAUUUGAGCAUUGUUUUUCUCCAAAAAAGUCGCAUGCGGUUGCACAAUAAAGACACAGCUUAUUUGUGUAAUGCAAAUCUGUUCCUGCUUGUUGGUACAAAGUGCAAGCAGCGAGCAUCAAAGUGCGGAGACUUCACAGAUCCUGCAUGAACACUUGCCACUGAACUUCAGUGACAUCCUGCAUUAUGUCAGAAUAAAAGAUGACAUCACAGUUGGUCUGUGAGUGAAUGGGAUUUGAACUCAGGGUUGAAUGUUGCUGCCUGGAGCAUUUGUGCUGCUGAUGCUCAACACCCUUUGCUCUGCUACUGUUUGUUUAUGUAUUUUUACAGCUGCUGAAUUUAGUUUCUCAAAGGUUAAUUAUUUUAUCAGGAGCCAGUCAGAAUUGGAGUUUCCUGUUUCCUUGUCUUCUGUUGAUUUCCUUUUCUGUUGAAACACAACUUUCUCUGUUGAAACAACUCAGUUCCUGCACUCUUCAGUUUCUGUGUAGUGACUUGAAGUGUCUGAAAUGGCCUGAUAUUCUCACAAAGAUAUUGACAGUGGAGUCUGGUGACUAAAUUGUUGUGAUAAAACAAAAAUUCAUUGGUUGAUGCUGUUGAAAUCCGCUGACUUUUCUAUGCUCCUAAUAGAAGGCUUUAAAAUAUCCAGCUGCAGACUGAUCCUCUCCAAGCAUGUGACGCUGACAUCAGUCCUAGAAGUGAGGCGUUGAACUGCCUCCAAAAAUGAGCUCAUUGGGGAAUAUUCAAUGCACUGAUUUAGCAAAAUAUUAAUUAAUUUGAUUACAUGGUCACCUGUACAUACUGUUUGAAAGAUGGUAAUUCAUUCCAAUUUUAGUUGCUACUGUUCCAGAUACCAGUGUUAUAAAGAUCGUGUUGAUAGGACUCUGUGCUCCCACUGUGUGCUGGGACCUGGGUUUGGCAGAGCCUACCUCUAAUUGCCACUAAUUUGCUCUAACACUUGGCAGUUUCUUGACUUUUCUUCUCCCUGCAUCUCUCCCAAUAAGCUGCAGGGAAUAAGACAAGAUUCUGUUGUCAAGCCAUCCGUCUAAAGCCACUCAUAAAACUUGCCUAAUUUUCUUGUGGCUCCCUUGACUUUUUAAAAUGGCUGUGAAAACACAGCCAUGUGCUUUCCCAGAAGUUUGGGUAGUGGUCCAUCUUCAUCUUGACCUGCCUGAUGCCAAAGCUGAGUGACCAUAAUGGGAUUAAACCCUGGCCCUGGAGGCUUCCUCCCCUCCUGUAGCUUGAGGUCAGCUACAGUAAUUGCAGACUUCCUCUUUCAACCCACACAAAGACCAUGGAUUCAGGCAACACUGGACUCAUGGUGACCCCAAAUACUUGCCUAUUAUUUUAUAAACUUGAAGAAAUUUUGUAUUUUCCUUUAAUUACAGUAGUAGCAUAUUCUAGAUGCAACUGUCCAAGCACAUCAACACAUGUCUUUUAUUUGAAACAUGGCAUAGGAGAAACAGAAGGGUUAGAAGGGUUCAUGUGCAUUCGUGCAGAAACAGUUUUGUCUUCCUCCUUCCACCCAGUAUUUUCUGCCUGUUACUGCACAUUGCAGGAUUGUUAGUUUUGGAUUCUGUUUCUCUCUGAAUAUAAGUCUUUAUGGAGCUGCCCAUAAUGUUGCUCUUUUCUUUCAAGAAACACUGCUGCUAACUUAGGACAGAGGAGGAUGCUGUGUGUUACAGGGCUGUAACGAUGCCUGAAUUGCAAACUGUUGUGCAACUAAAGAAUGGUAUUGUGCAAAACAGAGUGGAAAAACGGCUGCUGAUGAGCAAAGAGAGUUGAAGCAACAAGAAACCCUACUUAGAGAGCAAGAGGAGAAGCUGGGUUUGAAGAACAAGCAGUAGAAAGCAAGAUAGGAAGGCUCCACUCCUGCAAGAGUAAAUGAUCCCUGGAGCAGCCAAGGAGGCUGUUGGAUUUGAACUCUGUGCAAAGUUCAGUGGAGAGUGCGCUCCAAUGUCUCAGGCGAUGCUGCUUCUUCCUCCUUCUUGUUUACAAGAAGUUGGCAUGAUAUCAGAAUCAACUACUAAAACAUCCCUGGUGGGAGAAGAAUUGGGAUGAUAAAAUACUUCUUUGCAUCCAGAAAGUUAUUGCUACAGCAGUAGCUGUUGAAGCUGGCUGAGUGGCUGCUGCCUGGUUUUGGUUCAUGUCAGGAAUGGUGCUGUUGGGAAGUGAGUCCUGAGGUGGGACUGUGCAGUCCUCAUUGUGCCUCAGCACAGUUCUCAGCAUACUUCAGAUGCUGCCUCUGCAAAACGAUGGAAUAAACUUCCUCUUCUCCCAGUAAAAUGCCUGUGGUACACACAUCAUGGAGUUGGUUUUGUCCAUCCUUACUUAACAACAACAAGGGUUGUGCAGAAAACAUGUAGGGCAUGGAAAUGAAGAGCUGAGCCCCAUCUAUCCUCUGCUGCUGAAGGGUGGGAGGAGCUUGGGAGGCAUGGAAAAGAGGAAAACAGCUCUGCCUGUGCCUGUUUUGAUACUGAAGAGCUCUUCCCAGUGAUCUGAGAAGGGGGUGGGGAGAGAACCAGAUGCUCUUAGGAAGUUCAUACCAUUGUUAAUAAUGUAAUUCACAGAUGGUGGUGAAGGCCUUGAAGAGGCUUUCAUGCAGUCCUUACGCUCUGUAACAGAUCAUCACAUAAGGGCUCACAAAUAGAGAUGACUUAAUCCUAAGCAUGAGUCUACAGUGAUCUGUUUGAUGGUAGGCCUGCAGAUCACUGCAACCUUUUUAAACAGUUAAGAGCCUUCAGGAUCCCUGGAUGUUGAGCACUAGAACUGGACCAAUCCCUAAUUAAGUUGUCAGGAUAAAAUGUUUGUAUAGCUUUGAGACUUUCCCAAUGAAAAUGGCUCUUGAAAUUAAAAAACAAGUUCCUCUGUCCUGGUACAGAAAUCAGUACAGGUAAAGCAUGAACAUCAGUUUGUACAAUGACAUCUUGUUAAGAGGCAGUUGUGCUUUUAUCUCCAUUUUUUCUGAUUGAAGCUGGAAGCAGAGCUUGUGUGUGUUCUGAAUAGCUGUCAAUACUUUGUAGCAGCUAAGGAGGAUUGUGCCUUGCAUGUCCUCCUGUUGAAAAGAAGUCACUCAUAUUUACCAGCUUUACAGCAAAUGAACAGGCUGCUGGUUUUCAGACAUGUAGAAUCAGGAAAGAUUUAGCUCAAAUGCUUGCAAUAAAAUUCAAUAUUUGUAUGUUUGUGAGAGGGUUAUUGAUAAGAUCUUCACUGGCUGCUGGUCAGCUUUUGCUGUAAACUGUGUAACUACAAGUAUUUAUCAGGGACUUGUAAGCAAUACUGGCUUGCAUGUCUAGCACUAGAAAUCAAAAGUUUCAAAUAACAUGAGAACUGAUCUUGGCUUUGUUGUUUGUUGCUGUCUUUUCAAGUGCAGCGUCUCAUUUUCUAAGAGACAUUCCCAUUGUGGGUUUGAUUAUUAUUAACUUCUUCAAGUUUAAAUUGAGUUUAGUAAAUUGACUUCUUGUGAUGUUUGUCAUGUGAUGGUUUAUGAGCUCUCAAGAAUGUGCUCCUGUGACUUCAGCCAUGUAUUUGCCUGUACCAUGCAGGCUACAUCAUGUGUUCUUGUUGGUCUUGCAUUUUGAGCUAAGUAGUGAAGGGGGUUGGGAGGAAAAAAAAAAAAAACGGGGGAGAACUAAUUCAGGGCUAAGCUACCAGAAAUUCUCAGACUGCUUAAUUUGUGACCUUGUUCCCUAGUAAAAUGCAACCCAGGAUUUUCUGCUUCUUCCAUAGUUUCAGAGGAGUGUUUUCUGCAUUAAAAAUUGUGGUUUUUCUCUUACUAUCCUCUUUGAAAACCAGGAAAACCCUUUGCUUUAAAAUACCUUGACAUUUUGGGGGAAAAGAUUUUUUUAGUCCUUGGUGGGUGGGUGUGCUUUAACUGAGAAAGUUAGAAACUGUCUUUCUGAUCCACAUUUUCUGCAUAUAUCAACUGUAGCAUCUGUAAAGCAAUAUCUUUAUUACUGCAGUAAAAUGAACAAAGUUAAAAUUACUGCAUCUGAGCCAAGAAUUUUUGGUUUCUCCACAAUGGCCAAAGAUUUGGAGCACUAAAAGUGCUAUCAGUGAGUCUCCAGCUCCUUGUCCCACUGCCUGCCUGUGAUGUCUGUGUCCAGUGGAAGCAGAGUCCUCCCAGGACUGAGGAUUCACAAGGUUUGUUUUAAGCAGCACUUUCCAGCAUUGGGCGUCCUUCUAUGUAUUUUCCUGGCACUAUGUAAUGCUGUUUCUCAUUUGUAUAGACACAUACAUACACAUACAUGUUACUGCUGUUCAAUCCUCUGCAUUUCCCCCUCUGCAUUUAUGUACAUCAUGUUUCAGCAGAGCUGUACCUUAUACAGUUCCCAUACUAGGAAGGUUUUUUGUAGUUUUUAUGUCUGCGUGGGCUAAGCAUUUCUUUAGACUUGAAUCCAACAUCAAAGUAACAUUGGUUUAAUACAAUGUUUUUAUAUCACCUUUUUUCCUCCAAGUUGGAUUUUAUUUUCAGCUCUGACUGUCUUUAUUUUUGCUGCAUAUUUUGAGACUUUUUGCUUGCUCUUCACAUUAUUAAAAAAAAAAAAAAAAAACAACCCACACACAAAACUCUGUUUUCCUUAGCUCAUACAGUAUUUCCACUUGGCUCAAAAGAUGUGGAUUUGUGACCUGAGGGAAUCCUCGUUUGGCUGGUCACCCAAGCUUUCUUCAAGAGUAUUAGAAGGAUCUACAGCUUAAGUUCAUCAGAGGGAUGACCUGCUCUGGUUUUAAUGAGAUUUAUUAUACCUGUACCUGUUGGAUUCUGUGGUUUUGAUCUUCAAAAUUAUCUGAAUAAACCUGUUAGUGAAAGCAAAACUGUUGACAGAAAACUGACUCUACUCAAUCUGCCCUGUGUUAAGAUUAUUGAUUUUUGGAAUUAAAAAAUGUCCGUUGUGGCAUUGGCAUGGAACUUCUGUGUGAUGUUUGGCAAAAUGCUUGUAUCCAUGCUUCCCUUCUCAACUCCUCCAAUCCCCCUCUCAGAAAACCACACUGAUCAAAUUCUGAUAUCGCAGUCCAGGCUUGGAACGGGUGGAAGAACAAAUCUGGAUGUAGGAGUUGAUGGAUGAUUGUGUGUGGAUGUUAUGGAUACAGCUGCAUUCCUAACACAUGCAGGAGAGAUUGGGAGGGGUCGGUCUUGGCCAAACAAAAAUAUGUAUUUUCCCUAAAACUGCCUUUGUUUUGAAAACUCAACAGUGUUUAACGAUUUGAGUUUUGUUAGCUGAAAGAAUCUGAGAGAGUUCUCAAAAUGAGUUUCUGUGAACUUUCAGCUUGUCAAAUAUCUGUGGUCCUCCAGGGCCUGGAAGGGGAUCAGAGGCACUGGAGGGUUAUAGAUGUGCACUGGAUAUGGUUGAGUGAAGGCAGCGCUGGGGAGCAACACGAGGAGGGAAAGUGGUGAGAGUAUCUGGGUCAGCCUCCUCCAGAGCUGCAGGACACGUGAGAUGCUGCUCUGGUCUGGUUUAACUUCUUUCAGUUUGGUGACUUCCACGGAGGUUUAACACAGCUCUAGAAGAUUCAGGUUGACAGGCCUGCAGCAGAGGUGGCCAGUGAACACGGAGAUUUGACUUGUUCCAUCAAGAUCUGGCAAGCCUGAUGACUGGGUGAUCUCUGGAGCCGUAAAGAGGGAUGUGGCCUGUCAAUAACAGAACUCAUCAACUGUCCUGUGCUGGCGCUGGGAUUUUGGACAUGCAGCACUCAAGUCUGAGACAAAUGCAUUGCUGGGUGUAACGCCUUUCCUUUUUUUUAUUUGUACCUAUUAAUGGAAGCAGAGAGCAUAAUGUAAUCUUAAAAUAGCUCCUUCGUGAAUGCAGAAACAUUCCACUUCUGACUAAUUGGCCAUUCAGAAUGAGCAUUUAAAUAUGCACCAGGGACUGAGCGGCAGCUUUCCAUAUCCGCAUGAAUGGAGCUGGAAACGUGCUGCACUGCAGAGCUGUGCAGGCUCCUUGCUUUGUCCUCAUACCCCACACUCCUCACUCAGUGUGACUGCUCUACCCUGGGAGGCAGAAUGCAUGUCCUGCUUGCUGUCUCUUUGGUUAGGCAGCAAGCUGAGGGGGCUGUUCAUUUUCUCUACUCUCAAGACUGAGCUUCUUGGAAGCACUAGGCUGAUAAACAGUCCUCGAAACCAGAUUUCUCUUUCUCUUGGUUGUGAAUGACCAGGAACACAAAGAGCUUAUGGUCCGAGUCCUGGCUCCAGUGCAUGCCUUGGAGAGCUUGGCACGCACCAGGGAGCCCAUGUGCAGUAUUUUGACUCUGGCAGGCCCCCUGCUGCCCCAGAGCAUCUAGCCCAGCUUCACAGUGAGAGUAAGACACACAGAUACACGUGUGGUCAGUUGUGUCACUGACCUAAAACCUGUCCCAGCUCAAGGACUUCUCUUGCACCUGCUCGCCACCUGCCCAGGGGAUGGUGCUGCUCAGGGCUCUCUGCCAGGGCACAAGUGCCACUGGAAGUGGGUAGGGUCUCACCUGUCAGAAGAGGGCACAUUUUCCUUCACCCACUUGUCCUGGCUUUCUCUGCUCUAUAGGAGUAAAAUUCCUGUGUGCCUUCACUGGGUGUGUUUUGUUUUUCUGCUGAGCAAAUACACAUCGUUGCUGGGUCAGACUGUUGAUGUUUUGUGCGUAGUGAGACCGUCCUCAUGGUCUGCAUGUGCCUGACUGUGCAUGGCACUGGCCCCUCCUGGCAGGCUGAGGGUGAGGGCUGGCUCCCUGUCCUAGUGCUGCUUUCAUUCUCCUGCCCGUGGGCUCAGUGCCAAGGGAGCUGCCUGGGCCAGACCAGCCAGGCAGAGUCUACAGAGGUGAUUUUCUUUCGCUGAUCUGUGUUGCUUUUCCAAAUCCCAUAUGGCCUAUAUGGCUGUAAUUGUAGCUCAUUUAGAGCUGACCUCAAAGGCAAGUUCUCCUUUCCUCCCAAAAAAGAGAGGUUUUCACAUAAGGGCUUACUCUGGUUUAAGGCUGCUUUAUCUUAGUGUGACAUAAACCUGUUUCUAGUUAUCUUAAGGCAGAAAGCAACUAGAGGAUUUGGAUUGGACUGGAUGAUUGAUUCCUGCUGAUUUAAGCAAUCCAUAAGGAGUGCCUUUUGCCCUUACCUAGCUAAUCUUGAUUUCCUCUUCUGGCAUAGGCAGCAACAAGAAUUUUACUCUGUCUCUUGCAGUGGGACAGAGGUCUGGGAAGUGCCAUACUCUGAGCAUUGGCUUCUGCAGCUCUGCUCUUCAGGUGGUUAUUUAUGCAAGGCACUAGCCAAAGGGAAAGGAGAGUUUUAACUGGAUUAACCUUAAGAAGAGAGUGUGGGGAUUUAGGGAUUAAGGAACCAAAAGCAGCCAGCAAUCAGUGACUUAAAAUCUGUAAGAGAGCCAGUCUCUAUAGACAGGGAAUACAGUCUUUUCUUACCUGCACAGCAUUGAGAUGGGCAGUGUUUUACCUCUGAGAUCUUGGAGAAGAUGGUCUUAAGGGUGCAGGGUUUAUGUAGGGUGUUUUCUCUGAAAACUUGUGUAUUGAUGGGAAUUGGCAACUCUUUAAGAAAGAAACUAGUAAAGGACUGAGUGCUCAGAUGAGAUCUCAAACCAGGCACUGGGAAGGUAUGUUGGUGGCUUGCUCCAAUAUAAUGAGAACAUCUGGUUUCCAUAGACUUGCAGCUCGUGUAGCUUCAUGCACUCCUCUUGUACACCUUCUACCCUUGCUUUCAAAGUGUUUCUGUUGUCCCAUAUAUUUUUUUUUUUCUACUGAUGCUGUUAUGUAUCCUCUGCAGGGAAAAUCCUGCUAGAUUACCGGAUUGAUAGAAAGAUUUGGAGGCGUGGGGGAGAUCAACAAAAACCUGUUACUAAGGAGACACGAGUUUUAGCGUUGAGUCUCUAAUGGCCAGUCUGACGAAGGGGAAACAGAUGGCACAAAGGAGACUGGGAUUAUACAGACAAGUACCACAGGGCUGCAAAUCUGAUACAUCCAUUGAACUUCCUGGGGUCAGGCAAAUCCAGCCUUGUGCCAAGACUAAUGUGGUUCCUUUGCCUUUGGCACUGUUUGUGUCCUUCUGUUAAAGGCUGUUCUGGACACUGGGCUUCUGCCUCAAACAUUCCUGCCCCAGGGAACAGCGAGGUUUGGCACAGAAUGAGGGCAGGUGGCUGGUAGGGAAGUGUGUCCCUUUUGACAGGUCAAGAUGUACCCGCUUCUGGUGGUUCUCCCUUCCUGAGAGGGGGAAAUAACCAAACAUAACCCUGCAUUCUGCUUGAGUACAGCUUUUCUUCUGUUACUGAUGCACUCGUGUAGAAAAGUGACUUCUGUCCUGGAAGAAUGGGAGGAUGGAUGGUGGCUGCAGUCACUCCUGGCUUUUGACACAGCCUGGCCUUUAUUACAAUAUAAUGUUUCGCAGAGGCUUAAAUUUCAAGAGUGAUGCUCCCAGCUGCGUGCUGCUUGCUGGGCUGCAGCUUCCCCAGCUCCUGCCUGCUCUGGAGAGACAUGACAUGGCACUGCUGGUCUGGACAGAGCAGUGGGUAAAUAAGCAAAGGCAGAAUUCAUCCUGGCUGAGGAGAAACAGUGCUGGAGUCGCUUUUGCAAGAAGCUAAUUAACAUCUGGUUUUGUAUUUAACUUUCAGGCUGGCUCUAGAGAGUGUUGCAGUAAACAGGACACUGAUUUGUUAAUAGUGGGAGAGUGCUAAAUGACUACAGUGCUAGAAUUAAUAGCUUGACAGCAUAUCCUCUUCUCCUCUUCUCUCCUCCCACAGCAAUUUGGACUGAUACCCAAAUAAACAAUAACAAAUAGAUUUUUGGAGGAGCUGGCUAGGAGAAAUAACAAAAGUCAAGGGGCACUCGUUAUGCAACAUUGUUCUGCGAGUAUUUGACUCAUCCAGAAAACCCUGUUCUACUCCCUAGCUUCAUUUUCCAUUUUCUUUUUUUUUUCUUCAGCCUCUGUUGAGGAGGUAUUAUAUUUGCUGCUUUGCUUUUGGUCCCUCAGAAACUCCCUAUACCCUUGGAUCUCCAGUUGCUGUUUAGGCAUGGAAUGCUGGAAGAGUGUAGGCAGAACCCUACUGUAGAGAAAUAGCGUGUGAGAGCCUAUAAACCAGCUUGGGUCGGGCAAGAAAAUUGCUCUGGCUUUAAUUCCAACCACAUGAGACUAAUACCUGGGUGUAUUUUGUGAAGAAGUGAGUGAAUCUGAGUAGUUUAUAAGCGUUAUGUCCCACUUCUAGCAGCAGCAGUCCCCUGCCAGAAGUGGGGCAGCUGGGAGGCUGCUGUGCACCCUGGGGAUGGCAGAUGUGAACAAGGAGUACGCUCUGUACCUUGUGAUUCUCUCUGCAGUGUCUUGCCAGGGAAUAUCUUCAGGCAUUCCUUUCCCUCUGCUCUCCACAGGCUCUGCUUUGUGUCCUGCAUGCACAGAAAGCUGUCCCAGCAAUUCCUUUUGAAGUUUCGCCUGAAACACUUGGGGGUUUUUCCUUACCCAAACGGAGGCUAGAGGUGAAGGGACUUUGCUGCCAAUUCCUGUUCUGAUCUAGAGUCUAAACUCCUGCUGUUAAAGCCCUACCAGCCACUUCUGUUCUAGAUAUGUCACUGCAGUAGAGCAGAGGCUCCCCGGCUGUGCUCCUGCCUGAAUCCUGGGUUAUGCAAUAUCAGCCUGCGAGUGCCAACGCAGAUGCUGCUGCAUCCAGACACGCUGUACAAUGUAGUUGCUUGGAUACCCCUUUUUUUUUCUGUUCUUUUUCUCACAAGUGCUAGGUAACAAUUUGCAACUCGUAAUUAUAACGUUGAACACAGAUUCAGGUUAAGCAAUGUAAAGAAUUAGAAAUAUUAAUGAUUUCCUCUCUGCUUUUUAAAGGUUGAGCAUUGUGGAAUUUGCAAAGACUGAGUGUUGCUCUGUUCUCUUUUCAGCGUCUUUAUUUCAUCUUCAUAAGUGUUAAAUAACUUCCCCCUUUGAGAAUAUCUUUCAUCCAGAAAAUCAUCUCUUAAUUAUUGAUGCAAUAUGCCAAGAUCCCUGAGUGGCCUGGCUGCUGGUGCUUUUAUUUUGGGUAGGUCACGAAGAUUUCUGCGCUGCUCCUAAUUCUCUGUGUUGUGUGUUCCUUACGUCAAGAGGAGAUUUGACAGGGACUUGCAGGGAUUGGAUCUCAGAGGAGCUGAGUGGGUGAGAGUCUCCUGUAGCAUUCUGGCAGGGAGAAGGAUGCCUUUGUGUUACAGGCAGCCCCUGGGCUCUACGAGCUGGUGUGGGGUGAGGGUGCAGCUGAAACACGUCUCAGGGAUGGCUGCGUGUGCUUCAAUCUGUGGAAUUUGAGGCAAGCUAUCAAAAUGAAAAAACUCUGCCUGGUUAUGCUGAUGCUAACCAGGAAUUAGACUUAACAAGAGGGCUGUGCUGUCACAGCUUCAUUUUAUGGACACAGCUAUGACAUAAGUAGGAGUGGUAUCCAAAUAGCUCUAUUCUUGUUCCAUUAUGGGAAUAAUAUAUAUCAUGUAUGUUGCAGGUGGAUUAGCACUGUUUUAAUGACCCUACUGUACAUUCUGGAAGAGUCAAAGCUCUGGAGUUACAACUUGAUCAGAGCCCUAGAAUAACUCCCUGAUUUCUAAUUGAGAUAACUCCUGCAGGGAUACAAAUGAGCGUGUACCAAGGUAAACUAGAUGCUAACAGGAAGAUGGCUGAUUGCAAGACAAAGACCCUCCUUCCCUUUGCUGUGUACCUCCCUUCCUUCCACCCUCCUCCUCCUAAAAUAGCCUUUCAGCAUGAGUGAAAACCAAAUAUUUUCCUCUCUAAAAAACAAUUUAAAAUGUUUGUUCGUGUCAAUGGGAAAGUAAUUUAACCCAGAAGCUGGUGUUGUGCAUCUGCUGUGUCUGAUCUAUGUCCUUAUUCCUUGUAAUGCUUUCCUGUUGCUCAUGGAUGGUAAAAGAGUAUCAGCUGCAGUUCCAGGUCUCCAACUUCCCUGCAUAUGGCUCAUUAGCCAGUUUGCUUUUCAGGCUCCUUCAAUCUUGUUUAAUUCUAGCUGCCACGUUUUAAUGCAGCAGUUGAGGAGAGUCUCUCUCUCUCUUUCUCUCUUCAGCUGGAAACAGGCCCAGCUUCCGAGGUGAAGAUGUCAGCCCUGUGGGUGAGGAGGUGCAUGGCUAGGGCUGCUCUGGGAGCUCUGGAGGGCAUUGGGAGGUUGAGUAAGGUCUGUGUUUUAACAGGCAGUGACUGGAGAGGGUCUGAGGUGUGUAUGUCCAUCCUGCAUAAUUGCAGAGGGACAAUUUCACGCAUGUAAAUGUGUCAGCCUGCGUGAGUGGUGCUCAUUGUGGUAACCUGUGGAGCUGGGAUUUCAUUUUAAUCACAGACUGUUGGCUGUGUGGAAGCCCUGCCCUGAGAUUCACCAGUGUACACAUGCAUAUCUUUGACUUGGUCUUAGUCAAACUAUACCCUUGACGUCAGCAGCAGUUUCCAGUAUGAAAACUGGAGUUCCAGUGCCUGUGUUUAUACAGCCAGUGAGUCUUCUCACACUUGGCCCAUUACCAUGAGCAUUUGUUACCGUUCUAGGGAAACAAAUGCUCCUAGAUUCUAAGAUUUUCAGUGGACAAUGUCACUAGCUUUGCCUAAAAGGGGAUUAAGCAGGUACCUUUAGGGUUCUGGUGGGCAUUAAAUCCAGCAAAGCAUCAUAAUUACAUUAAAUACCUUUCUUUUCUGUCAUACUUGCAGGGUGCUGAAGGGCCUUCUGAAAGUCAUGGGGAAGGUCUAUUCAGGGAGACAGUAGUUCUGCUGGGUUUUUUUAUUUAGUGUCUGUAAGUGGCUAGAGAUGAUGUGCUACUACAGUUUUAGAAAGAGAAAUUAUAUUAAUGCACAUUUGAGGUAGGGAUAUUUAAAGUGAAUAUAUAUCUGCAAUGUAUGGGGUUUUUUUCCUUCCCCUUAGGUGGGUCUCUGAUUAAGGCAAAAGCUGUUAUACUCCUCAUCAGGCAAGUUGAUUUCUCUGCAGAAAUUCAGUUGACAGUAAUCUGCUUUUUAAUCUGUUCUUGUGGUGUAGUGUAGCAGGCUGUGUCACACCAUAUUUCUCAUCCUAAAUCUUGUUGUACCAGUUGCAGGCUUGUAAUUUUUGUCUUGAAGUGUCUGAGUUUUAGUUCUGCAGUUUUUAGUGAGUGCUAAUCUAAACAAGGUUUGCAUAAAUCUCUUUGCUCCAGCGGGAAGAUGAAAGCUUUGAUAAGGAACUUGUUUUUUUCUCUCUCCCAAGCAGGAGCACAAUGUCUUUGACCUAAAUAUACCAAUUACUGACAUAGCAAAGUGAUACAGAAAACAAUCUAGAAGGAAUGCCAACCUCUGAAUGAACACUUGGCUGCAGAAAGCUACUGCUUAUGUGGAACCUCAAAUCCAGAAGACAUGUGAGGAGGAAAACAGCAUUCAUUCAAAA